ACGGUUUAAUUGCUUAACCGUUGCGUUUGUUGUAAAAAUAGGAAAAAAAAAGACGCCUCACCCUCUUUUCUUCCCUCUCUCCUAUGCUACGGUAUUCUGGAACUCUCUUUCUCUCUCUCCCUCCUCUCUAUUAUCCCUUUCUUCUCAGAUCUGGCUUCAAGGGAAAUCAAGAAAUGAUAGUGUUUCUUUCUAAGAUCUUGAAAGGAAUUUUUAUCAGAAAAGCGAAGCUUUACAAAAUUGAUAAAGAUGGAAAGAGAGGGGUACUGGUAUAAUACAGCAAAUUCUGAUUGGUUAUGCGUCAAUCCAAAGCGAUGUGCUACACUAAUCAUCUGACUUAUUCAUUGCUACUUCAAUCUUUGAUGCUGCUGCAACUUCUGUGCUGCUGUUGUUCUUCCUAUGUGGUGCCCUAAGUCGGUUUUGAACAGCCAGAGCCUAUUUGCCUUUUUCUACUAGUGAGAUGAGCGAGCAUGCUUGUGUUCGUAUUCGAUCAAACUGUGCAAAGUCCAUAUGUUGCUGUCCAAAGUUGAUGUUAUUGCUCUUUUCAUUUGUUGAAUAGGCUGCUAGCCUUAUUUGUAAAGUUUUCUAAUUUGUAAAAAGUUUACAUUGUAUAAGUAAGAUAAAUUCUAUGAUUUUUUUUUCUUUUAUGAA